CCUACGGGUGGCAGCAGUGGGGAAUAUUGGGCAAUGGGCGCAAGCCUGACCCAGCAACGCCGCGUGAAGGAAGAAGGCUUUCGGGUUGUAAACUUCUUCUCUCAGGGACGAAGCAAGUGACGGUACCUGAGGAAUAAGCCACGGCGAACUACGUGCCAGCAGCCGCGGUAAUACGUAGGUGGCAAGUGUUAUCCGGAUUUACUGGGUGUAAAGGGCGUGUAGGCGGGACUGCAAGUCAGAUGUGAAAACCACGGGCUCAACCUGUGGCCUGCAUUUGAUACUAUAGUUCUUGAGUGCUGGAGAGGCAGACGGAAUUCCUAGUGUAGCGGUGAAAUGCGUAGAUAUUAGGAGGAACACCAGUGGCGAAAGCGGUCUGCUGGACAGCAACUGACGCUGAGGCGCGAAAGCGUGGGGAGCAAACGGGAUUAGAUACCCGUGUAGUC
rnacentral:rRNA from 1 species